GACGAACCGUGCGAACGUUAUCCGGAGUUACUGGGCGUAAAGGGCGCGUAGGCGGCACCGCAAGUCGACUGUGAAAUCUCCGGGCUUAACCCGGAAAGGUCAGCCGAUACUGCGGGGCUAGAGUGCAGAAGGGGCAACUGGAAUUCUCGGUGUAGCGGUGAAAUGCGUAGAUAUCGAGAGGAACACCUGCGGCGAAGGCGGGUUGCUGGGCUGACACUGACGCUGAUGCGCGAAAGCUAGGGGAGCGAACGGG
rnacentral:rRNA from 1 species